rnacentral:rRNA from 1 species
AUGCACGCUGGCGGCGUGCCUAAUCCCUGCCAUUCGAGCGAACAGACGAGGAGCUUGCUCCUCUUACGUUAUCGGCGUCCGGUUUAGUAACACGUUGAUAACCUACCUAUAAGACUUUGAUAACUUCGUUAAACCGUAGCUAAUUCCGGAUAAUAUAUUUAACCGCAUUUUUCAAUAUUUAAAGUCGGUUUUUCUUUCACUUAUAUUUGUAUCCGCGCCUCAUUAGCUAGUUGGUAAGGUAACGGCUUAACAAGGCAACGAUGCGUAGACGACCUGAGAGGGUGAUCGGCAACACUGGAACUGAGACACGGUCCAGACGACUACGGGAGGCAGCAGUAGGGAAUAUUCCGAAAUGGGCGAAAGCAUGACGGAGCAAAGCCGAGUGAGUGAUGAAGGUAUUCGGAUAGUAAAACUCUGUUAUUAGGGAAGAACAAAUGUGUAAGUAAAUAUGCACGUCUUGACGGUAACUAAUCAGAAAGACACGGAUAACUACGUG